AGAUCUACUACCACGGGGAGCCAAUCAGUGUCAACGUUCACGUCACAAACAACACCAACAAGACGGUGAAGAAAAUGAAGAUUUCAGUGCGUCAGUAUGCAGACAUCUGUCUAUUCAACACAGCACAAUACAGAUGCCCGGUCGCAACAGAGGAGACAGAUGACGUGGUGGCUCCGAGUUCAACGUUUUGUAAAGUCUACACCCUCACCCCUUUCCUCAACAACAACCGAGAGAAACGUGGUCUGGCAUUGGACGGGAAACUGAAACACGAGGACACAAACCUGGCUUCUAGU